UACGUAGGUGGUCUACUAAGUCAGAUGUGAAAGCCCCGGGCUUAACCUGGGAACUGCAUUUGAAACUGGUAAACUAGAGUAUGGUAGAGGGGGGUAGAAUUUCUAGUGUAGCGGUGAAAUGCGUAGAUAUUAGAAGGAAUACCAGUGGCGAAGGCGGCCCCCUGGACCAAUACUGACACUGAGGUACGAAAGCGUGGGUAGCGAACAGGAUUAGAUACCCUGGUAGUCC
rnacentral:rRNA from 1 species